ensembl:miRNA predicted gene, 23638
GGUUUCUCUGUGUAGCCCUGUCUGUCCUGGAACUCACUUUGUAGACCAAUCUGGCCUCGAACUCAGAAAUCCACCUGCCUCUGCCUCCCAAGUGCUGGGAUUAAAGGCAUGUGCCACCACCGCCCG